UACAGAGGUCUCAAGCGUUGUUCGGAUUUACUGGGCGUAAAGGGCGCGUAGGCGGCCACCGCAGGUCGAUUGUGAAAUCUCCGGGCUUAACCCGGAAAGGUCAACCGAUACUGCGGGGCUAGAGUGCAGAAGGGGCAACUGGAAUUCUCGGUGUAGCGGUGAAAUGCGUAGAUAUCGAGAGGAACACCUGCGGCGAAGGCGGGUUGCUGGGCUGACACUGACGCUGAAGCGCGAAAGCUAGGGGAGCGAACGGG
rnacentral:rRNA from 1 species